GGCUCUGUGGCGCAAUGGAUAGGCGUGUUGGACUUCUAAGCUAAGCAUUGGAGCUAUUCAAAGGUUGUGGGUUCGAGUCCCACCAGAGUCA
rnacentral:tRNA from 1 species